CUCCUACGGGAGGCAGCAGUGGGGAAUAUUGCACAAUGGGCGCAACUGUAUGCAGCAACGCCGCGUGAAGGAAGACGGUUUUCGGAUUGUAAACUUCUGUUCUUAGUGAAGAAUAAUGACGGUAGCUAAGGAGCAAGCCACGGCUAACUACGUGCCAGCAGCCGCGGUAAUACGUAGGUGGCAAGCGUUGUCCGGAAUUACUGGGUGUAAAGGGAGCGCAGGCGGGUGAUCAAGUCAGCUGUGAAAACUACGGGCUUAACCCGUAGACUGCAGUUGAAACUGUUCAUCUUGAGUGAAGUAGAGGUUGGCGGAAUUCCGAGUGUAGCGGUGAAAUGCGUAGAUAUUCGGAGGAACACCGGUGGCGAAGGCGGCCAACUGGGCUUUAACUGACGCUGAGGCUCGAAAGUGUGGGGAGCAAACAGGAUUAGAUACCCUGGUAGUCCACACUGUAAACGAUGAUUGCUAGGUGUGGGGGGUCUGACCCCUUCCGUGCCGGAGCUAACGCAAUAAGCAAUCCACCUGGGGAGUACGACCGCAAGGUUGAAACUCAAAGGAAUUGACGGGGACCCGCACAAGCAGUGGAUUAUGUGGUUUAAUUCGAAGCAACGCGAAGAACCUUACCAGCACUUGACAUCCAACUAACGAAAUAGAGAUAUAUUAGGUGCCCUUCGGGGAAAGUUGAGACAGGUGGUGCAUGGUUGUCGUCAGCUCGUGUCGUGAGAUGUUGGGUUAAGUCCCGCAACGAGCGCAACCCUCGCCAUUAGUUGCUACGCAAGAGCACUCUAAUGGGACCGCUACCGACAAGGUGGAGGAAGGUGGGGACGACGUCAAAUCAUCAUGCCCCUUAUGUGCUGGGCUACACACGUAAUACAAUGGCCAUCAACAGAGAGAAGCAAUACCGCGAGGUGGAGCAAAACUUCAAAAAUGGUCUCAGUUCGGACUGCAGGCUGCAACCCGCCUGCACGAAGUUGGAAUUGCUAGUAAUCGUGGAUCAGCAUGCCACGGUGAAUACGUUCCCGGGUCUUGUACACACCGC
rnacentral:rRNA from 1 species